rnacentral:lncRNA from 1 species
CCCUAUGGUCUCGUCCGCUGGCUCCUGCUUCGGCGCCUGGUGUCCCGUGGGUAUUACCGUCGGGCGGUUUGUCGUCGGGGCUUGGGGGGCUCCGUUCGCGGGCUUCAUUUUGCUGAGGACCUUUGCUAGGUUUAGGCAUUCGGCCGUCGUGUGGCCGUUAUCCUCGUGAUAUUCGCAAAACCGACGGGUGUCCCUGAACGCCGCCGUGUCCUUUCUCAUUGG